rnacentral:tRNA from 1 species
GGAGGGGUGGCAGAGCGGUCGAUUGCGCCGGUCUUGAAAACCGGAGGGCCGGCAACGGUCCCGCGGGUUCGAAUCCCGCCCCCUCCGCCA